rnacentral:rRNA from 1 species
AUUGAACGCUGGCGGCAGGCCUAACACAUGCAAGUCGAACGGUAACAGGGAUCAGCUUGCUGAUUCGCUGACGAGUGGCGGACGGGUGAGUAAUGUCUGGGAAACUGCCUGAUGGAGGGGGAUAACUACUGGAAACGGUAGCUAAUACCGCAUAACGUCGCAAGACCAAAGAGGGGGACCUUCGGGCCUCUUGCCAUCGGAUGUGCCCAGAUGGGAUUAGCUAGUAGGUGGGGUAACGGCUCACCUAGGCGACGAUCCCUAGCUGGUCUGAGAGGAUGACCAGCCAGACUGGGACUGGGACACGGCCCAGACUCCUACGGGAGGCAGCAGCAAGGAAUUUUCGGCAAUGGGCGCAAGCCUGACCGAGCAACGCCGCGUGCAGGAAGACGGCCUUCGGGUUGUAAAGUACUUUCAGCGGGGAGGAAGGGAGUAAAGUUAAUACCUUUGCUCAUUGACGUUACCCGCAGAAGAAGCACCGGCUAACUCCGUG